AAGAGUAGCUGCAACAGCCAUUCAGUUAAACUGGAGUGACAGCUCUACGAGCAACAGGGGCAGGAUGGGCGGAACCGACAGAGCAGGCAGAAGGGCUGGCCCGCCCCGGUACCGUGUGGGAUUAUCGGGGCCUAACAGAUCGUACGCCAUCAAGCCCUUGGGGGAGGGGGUUUCCAAUCACAGAUCAAAUCCACUGCAUCCACGCCUUCCGCUUCACAGAAAAGUGAAGGAAACCUCUGGACCGAUCGAAAUCAUCCGAGCAGGGCCGAACACCUCUCAGUUUAGCGCCCCUAAUACCUCACUCAUAGAAACUCAAGGGAACCUUCGGCCACUUUAGAAACCCUGAAACCCAGGUGGUUAAGUGGUAUUAUUAAAGUCGACCAGCCCUUGGCCCACCCAACAGGGCCGUGCCGCGCAUAGGCAGUGUGCCGGACCUGGGGCCCCCGAAGGCGGCUUCUUGCCCCUCCCAGCGAAGAGACAGCGGCGGCCGGGGGGGACGUACCGGGUCUCUUCCGGGAGGCCCCCGAAGGCCGCGCCAAGCCGACGCCGGCUCCGGAGGUCCGCGGGACCAUGCGGAACACUUUACUCACCUGCCACGGCCUCGGCCAGCCGCGAUGGCGACAGAUGGACCCGGCCGACGACCGCGCAGACCCCGGCUCCCUCAGCUACGGGGCAAAGGAGGAAAAGAGCGCGCGCCGAAGCCGUAAACACGACGGCGCUGUCGUAAACUGCUCGCCAGCUUCCUCCGGUUUCGGCGGCAGAGCGCGCGAGUCGUAAAGCGAAGAUACAUCCGGAAAUUCGUCACCGCUCUUGGUGUGCUGUCCUCAGUAGUCUCUGAGGCGCCAAGACAGCAGAGGAUGAAGUUCGCGACUGUUCAGUGGCAGCUGUGGCUGUGAACACAGGAAGGCGGGGUCAUGGCUGAGAAUGAGCGUUAAGGGCUCCUGAGCCCCAACACCCACCAGAAAAGGCAUCUACUGUUGGGGUCCUCAUGAAGAAAAGGGUCGGGGACAGAAAAGGCUCACAGAUGCCAAGAAGUCAACCUAAAGUCUUGGAAAGAGACCUGCGUCAGAGGGAACCUAGGUUCAAGUCCUGACUCCUACUGGCCAGGUGAGGAGCCUGAGGACCCCGAGUAGCAUGCUGAGGGCCCCACAGCUAGUUCUGCUGCUCCCCAUCAGAGGCCAGAGCACCUGCCUUCCACUGCUCUUCUCACAGAAGCACACCACUUUGGGCGGUGGAAAAAUUCAC